CUUUAGGAGCUCCUGUUCUACUGAGGGAGAACGACAUGUAAAUUAAUAGCUAUCAUCCCGUAGAAUAAUGUGGGCAGAUAGAAGAGGUUCUGAACUCAAUGGUGGGAGAUGAAAAGGAUACAGGAUGGGGAAAGCAGAAACAGGACAGCUUCACACAGUAAUUGCAAACUGCUCUGAAUCUUGAAGGAAGAGUAAAAAAUUAGCCAGCAGAUCAGCCGGAUGAAGGCGGGAAGACAAAGCCACCUGGCCGGGGUCAUGGAGGAGGUGUGACAGUGAAGGGUCUUCUGCUUCCACACUCACAAGGCUUUGUCUUCUUUGCUUUGCUGACUCUUCCUCAAAUUUAGAGGUUAAACCAGAAGGCAAGAUUGGAUGGGAAUCAUUGUGUCCCCAGCACCUAGGACAUUGGCAGCUGAAUAAAUGCUGAAAUGAUACAUGCUCCCCAAUGGAAGUCAGCCAGCCUUGACUUGGAUAUGUCAAACCCGUCUACUUUGGACCAUGAAAACUAGUGAAUUCACGCAAGAGAUCAGAGGUUAAGAACCUGCUGAAAGCUUUGCCAAGGCGAUGACCUCUCAGGAAAACCUCAGAAUGGAUUUGGUUUGGUCAGAUUCAGCCUUCCCUCUCCCAGGCCAUGUAAUCUUCAUCAUAUACCUGCAUUUUAUGGACAAGUCUGGCCUGUGUACCUUCCCUUUGAACUAAAACUCUGGACUGGAGGCCACAGAGAGUGAACCACUAGUGAGAACAGAAAAAUCUGGAAGAAUCUGGAAGGGUCUUGAAUCUGAAAGACAAAGAAAUAUGGUAAAGGUAAAUUAUUUCAUUCAACUCCCAGAUCAUGGGGUGCUGGCUCCCAGCAAGGGGCUGAAAAAUGGCGGGUAGCAUCAUUGUCAACAUUAUGACAUGUACCAUCUAUAAUCUGUGUGUACUUUCUCCAAUUCUCUUUCCUCUCCUUCUUCCUUAUGUCACUUUGUUACCUCACAGAAUGGGGUUAAUGCUUUGCUAGGUAGGGGAAGGACUCACUCUUUAUCAAAUGCCUCCCCCUCUCACCAAACUUUAUUAAAAAAUGAAAACCUCU